rnacentral:rRNA from 1 species
UGGGGAAUAUUGCGCAAUGGCCGAAAGGCUGACGCAGCGACGCCGCGUGCGGGAGGACGCCCUUCGGGGUGUAAACCGCUGUCAGGGGGGAAGAAACCCGUUCACGGGAAUAUCGUGGGCGAUUGACGGUACCCCCAGAGGAAGCACCGGCUAACUCCGUGCCAGCAGCCGCGGUAAUACGGAGGGUGCAAGCGUUGUUCGGAAUUACUGGGCGUAAAGCGCGGGCAGGCGGUCCGUUAAGUCCCCUGUGAAACUCCGAGGCUCAACUUCGGACAUGCAGGAGAUACUGGCGGACUAGAGAUCGGUAGAGGCAGGCGGAAUUCCUGGUGUAGCGGUGGAAUGCGUAGAUAUCAGGAAGAACACCUGUGGCGAAGGCGGCCUGCUGGGCCGAUUCUGACGCUGAUCCGCGAAAGCGUGGGGAGCAAACAGGAUUAGAUACCCCCGUAGUCC